CCAGCGACCCCGGAGCCUGAGCUGCCGGCGGAAUUGCUCGGCCUCGGGUGAGGCGGCGGCGAGGCCCCGGCGGGGGACGCGGUGCGGGACCCACCCCGGCACCGGCUCGGCCGCAGGAGCGAGUCUUGCAGGGAACAGCUCGUGGCGUGCCUGGAGGACGACCGCGGCGAUCGGAGCGCGUGGAGUUUGGAGAAAUAAAUACUUGGGGUCUGUCACUACCUUUGGUUCCUGCGUCCGGAGGCCUUGGUUCCCCCGGGGCCGCCUCCAUCGUCUGAAGGUCCCCGGGAGCUGGGGGCGGCCCUGCCUCUGCCAGGAGGGGGCACUAGAGCGCAGCCCCGGCCCCCAGGGAGCAGCCGCCCCUCCGGGGAGGUCACCGCCAACCCUGGCCCGUGUGCACCUGCGGUCCGAGGUGUUGGAGGGGCUCAGCAGGUGUCGGGCACCACCAUGGCCUGGACCCCGUGUUGGGUGCUUUAUGCUCUUAUUUGUUCUCGAGCAAUCCCGUGAGGUGAGCAUCGUUUGCCUCGUUUUUAAAUUAAGGGGCCGGAGCUUACCACCCAGGUCUGUCUGAGUCCACAUCUCAUGCCCUGCUGCCUCCCAGGGACUGGCCCAGCUGGCUGCUUGGGGGUGAGGACUUCCUUCCAUCCCCACUUCUGCGCUUCAUGGAUAACCAGCCAUGACAGCACCCUGUGGGCAGGGCCCCAACUUCCCGGAGCCCACAGAGGACCUGACACAUGGUAGGCACUCCAGCAUCUUCCAGAUGAGCGACUCCCAGGGAUCGAGACUGGCGGGCUCUGGACCUAGCUUUUGCCCAGUGCUCUGGCCCCAGAGCCUUGGGGGACCCACUGAGGACCUGACAUCUGCUGUUGGCUUCUGAAGGCUUCCAACUGUGCUACUUCCAACUCAUUACCGCUAAUGUUUGGGGACACCCUGCGUAUGACAGAUGCUAUUAGAAAACCAAAUUCUGCUCUAUCAGGAAGCAAAGUUAACAGAGCACAAAGCAGGGGAUCCACCAGAGAAGAAAAACAGCAUCUCUGCUCUUCUAGACAAGUCAGUGGAUACUGUGACACCCGUCCCCGGAUCCCGAAUGGAGAGAAGAGGCCAGCUCCUGAGGAGCAGAAGGGAGCACGUUCCAGGCAGAGGUGCAAGUGCAGAGAUCCUGGGGUGGAAGCAGACUGGACAGAGAGAGAGAGAGAGAGAGAGAGACAGAG